UAGGGAAUCUUCGGCAAUGGGGGCAACCCUGACCGAGCAACGCCGCGUGAGUGAAGAAGGUUUUCGGAUCGUAAAGCUCUGUUGUAAGUCAAGAACGAGUGUGAGAGUGGAAAGUUCACACUGUGACGGUAGCUUACCAGAAAGGGACGGCUAACUACGUGCCAGCAGCCGCGGUAAUACGUAGGUCCCGAGCGUUGUCCGGAUUUAUUGGGCGUAAAGCGAGCGCAGGCGGUUUGAUAAGUCUGAAGUUAAAGGCUGUGGCUCAACCAUAGUUCGCUUUGGAAACUGUCAAACUUGAGUGCAGAAGGGGAGAGUGGAAUUCCAUGUGUAGCGGUGAAAUGCGUAGAUAUAUGGAAGAACACCAGUGGCGAAGGCGGCUACCUGGUCUGCAACUGACGCUGAGACUCGAAAGCAUGGGUAGCGAACAGGAUUAGAUACCCUGGUAGUCCAUGCCGUAAACGAUGAGUGCUAGGUGUUGGAGGGUUUCCGCCCUUCAGUGCCGGAGCUAACGCAUUAAGCACUCCGCCUGGGGAGUACGACCGCAAGGUU
rnacentral:rRNA from 1 species